AUACGUAGGGAGCAAGCGUUGUCCGGAUUUACUGGGUGUAAAGGGUGCGUAGGCGGCUUUUUAAGUCAGAUGUGAAAUCUAUGGGCUCAACCCAUAAACUGCAUUUGAAACUAGAGAGCUUGAGUGAAGUAGAGGCAGGCGGAAUUCCCUGUGUAGCGGUGAAAUGCGUAGAGAUAGGGAGGAACACCCGUGGCGAAGGCGGCCUGCUGGGCUUUAACUGACGCUGAGGCACGAAAGCGUGGGUAGCAAACAGGAUUAGAUGCCCUGGUAGUCCACGCUGUAAACGAUGAUUACUAGGUGUGGGGGGACUGACCCCUUCCGUGCCGGAGUUAACACAAUAAGUAAUCCACCUGGGGAGUACGGCCGCAAGGUUGAAACUUAAAGGAAUUGACGGGG
rnacentral:rRNA from 1 species